rnacentral:rRNA from 1 species
CCUACGGGAGGCAGCAGUGGGGGAUAUUGCACAAUGGGGGAAACCCUGAUGCAGCGACGCCGCGUGGGCGAAGAAGUAUUUCGGUAUGUAAAGCCCUAUCAGCAGGGAAGAAAGAAGACGGUACCUGACUAAGAAGCCCCGGCUAACUACGUGCCAGAAGCAGCGGUAAUACGUAGGGGGCGAGCGUUAUCCGGAUUCACUGGGUGUAAAGGGAGCGUAGACGGCCGUGCAAGCCAGGAGUGAAAGCCCGGGGCCCAACCCCGGGACUGCUCUUGGAACUGGGCGGCUGGAGUGCGGGAGGGGCAGGCGGAAUUCGUGGUGUAGCGGUGAAAUGCGUAGAUAUCAGGAGGAACACCGGCGGCGAAGGCGGCCUGCUGGACCGCGACUGACGUUGAGGCUCGAAAGCGUGGGGAGCGAACAGGAUUAGAUACCCGGGUAGUC